GUAGUGUUCCAUGAAAACCAAACAUUAGAAGACAUUGAAAAGCCCACAAUAACUCCUAAUUCUAAUUUUGGUGCCCAAAAUAUUGCUCCAGAUCCAGCACCAACACAACUCACCAUAGAUAACGACGAUGUGCAUGAGGAAAUGUCAGAAGCAGAACAUGAGGAUGAAGAAGGGGAUAUUGAUGAGGGGGAGUCACAAUCCUUUUCACCAGAAGUUGUUGGACCAUCACAUCAACCAGAUGAUGAUGCACCUCCUGAAAUCAACGAUCCACAGGUAAGAAGAUCUGAACGAGGACGGAUUCCAUCAACGAGAUAUCCAGAAUUAGACUACCUUUUGCUCACUGACGAAGGAGGGCCAGAGAGCUUUCAGGAAGUACAAACUUAUGUGGACAAAGACAAGUGGAUACAAGCAAUGCAGGAUGAGAUGGAGUUACUGCAGAAAAAUCAAACAUAUGAAUUAGUUGAGCUUCCGAAGGGAAAGAAGACAUUAAGGAAUAAAUGGGUUUUCAAGCUCAAGAAAGAUGACAGCGGAAAGGUGGUAAAACAUAAAGCCCGUUUGGUAGUCAAAGGAUUUCUUCAGAAGAAGGGAGUUGACUUUGAUGAGAUUUUUUCACCUGUUGCAAAAAUGGCCUCAAUUCGAGUUAUCCUUGGAUUAGUAGCCAGUCUGAAUUUAGAACUUGAACCGAUGGAUGUCAAAACAACAUUUCUUCAUGGUGAUUUAUAUGAAGAAAUUUAUGUGGAGCAGCCAGAAGGUUUUGAAGUUUCACGGAAAGAAAACUUUAUUUGCAAGUUAAAGAAGAGCUUAUAUGGUCUUAAGCAAGCACCUAGGUAGUGG
rnacentral:lncRNA from 1 species